AUGGCCGCGUCCUCCGCCGCAGCCUCCUCGAAGUCCGACCGCGCGGCCCUCCUCAAGGCCUUCGACGAGUCCCGCACCGGCGUCCGCGGCCUCGUCGAGUCCGGCGUCUCCACCGUCCCCGACCUCUUCGUCCACCCCGACCCCUACGCCUCCGUCCCGCUUGCUCCCCCGGGCAUCUCCAUCCCCGUCGUUGACCUUUCCCUCCCCGCGCACCUCGUAGCCGCCGCCACCGCGGCGGCCGCCCGCGACUGGGGCUUCUUCCACCUCGUCAACCACGAGGCCCUCGUCCCCUCCGGCCACCCCGCGAGGGCCCUCGCCGCGGUGUGCGCCUUCAACGAGCUCCCCGCCCUCGAGCGCGCCGCGCACUACGGCCGGGCCUUGUCCGGCGGGGUCAGCUACUCCUCGAACGUCGACCUGUUCCAGUCCCCCGCGGCGAGCUGGCGCGACACCGUCCAGGUGAUGUUCGGGCCUACGCCGCCCAACACCGAACGCAUACCGUCGGUGUGCCGCUCUGAAGUCAUCGAGUGGGAAGUGCAUGCCGCCGCGGUGGCCCGUGCCGUGAUGGCGCUGCUCUCCGAGGGGCUUGGGCUCGGGGGUGCGGCGCUGGAGGAGACCUCGUGCCUGGAGGGGAAGCUCAUGGUCUGCCAUUACUACCCGGUGUGCCCCGAGCCUGAGCGCACCAUGGGCUUAGUCCCGCACACCGACCCCGGCGUGCUCACCGUCCUUGCGCAGGACGGCGUUGGUGGUUUGCAGGUGAAGCACACCAAUGGGGACGGGGAGAGCUUCUGGGUGGACGUGAAGCCUGCACCGGGCGCGCUUGUGAUCAAUGUCGGGGACCUCUUGCAGAUAAUGUCAAAUGAUAAGUACAAGAGCGUCGAACACAGGGUGGUGAUGAAUUCACGUGAGGAAGCUAGAGUUUCAAUUGCUGUCUUCUUCAAUCCUGGAAAGCGAGGGGAAUCAGUUUUGUAUGGGCCGUUGCCAGGGCUGGUUUCUACAGAAAACCCACCAAAGUACAGGCGUUUCACGAUGUUUGAGUUUUUGGGGGCCUUCUUCAAACGUGACCUUGCCAGCAAAGCUCUACUUGAGCACUUCAAACUGUAA
rnacentral:rRNA from 1 species